rnacentral:rRNA from 1 species
CCUACGGGUGGCAGCAGUGAGGAAUAUUGGUCAAUGGACGAGAGUCUGAACCAGCCAAGUAGCGUGAAGGAUGACUGCCCUAUGGGUUGUAAACUUCUUUUAUAUGGGAAUAAACUGUUCCACGUGUGGGAUUUUGUAUGUACCCUAUGAAUAAGGAUCGGCUAACUCCGUGCCAGCAGCCGCGGUAAUACGGAGGAUCCGAGCGUUAUCCGGAUUUUGUGGGUUUAAAGGGAGCGUAGGUGGAGUGUUAAGUCAGUUGUGAAAGUUUGCGGCUCAACCGUAAAAUUGCAGUUGAAACUGGCAGUCUGGAGUACAGUAGAGGUGGGCGGAAUGCGUGGUGUAGCGGUGAAAUGCUUAGAUAUCACGAAGAACUCCGAUUGCGAAGGCAGUUCACUGGACUGCAACUGACACUGUGGCACGAAAGUGUGGGUAUCAAACAGGAUUAGAUACCCUUGUAGUC